UGAAGUAGGUCCCAAGGGUAUGGCUGUUCGCCAUUUAAAGUGGUACGCGAGCUGGGUUUAGAACGUCGUGAGACAGUUCGGUCCCUAUCUGCCGUGGGCGCUGGAGAACUGAGGGGGGCUGCUCCUAGUACGAGAGGACCGGAGUGGACGCAUCACUGGUGUUCGGGUUGUCAUGCCAAUGGCACUGCCCGGUAGCUAAAUGCGGAAGAGAUAAGUGCUGAAAGCAUCUAAGCACGAAACUUGCCCCGAGAUGAGUUCUCCCUGAGACUUUAGGUCUCCUGAAGGAACGUUGAAGACGACGACGUUGAUAGGCCGGGUGUGUAAGCGCAGCGAUGCGUUGAGCUAACCGGUACUAAUGAACCGUGAGGCUUAACCUUACAACGCCGAAG
rnacentral:rRNA from 2 species